rnacentral:sRNA from 1 species
AAAACUCUUUUGUAUGAGAGAUGGGCUGCUGGUACAUGUUAAACCAGAUUGUUAACUGUACAGGGUAUUUAUUAUUCACCCCGUCAGAAUAUAGGUGACAGGUCUCGGUAUCUUAAUUUCUAGUCGAAUCACUUUUAUUUCUCUCACAUUAUGACAUUUUGAAAAGUUAAUGAAAACCUAAUGAAAUAUGACACUGAUCAAAGAAGAUAGCAAUGUGUUCUGUUGUUUAACAAUUUUAGUUAUUAUUGUAUAUGUAUGUGUAGGUCAUGAAAUCCUUUCUGCAAACACAAGCCUUAGAUAAUACAUGUAGUGUAAUGAUAUAGACCUUCUUUUGCAAUUCUUUACAUUUUUGUCGUUGAGUCAAGUAGGAAGCAAUACGUUAACUAGUGCCUGAUUGUUUUUUAUCCAGAGAUUGAUUUUUUUAUCUUACAAUCGCAUGAACACCCUGUUCAACCAGUAUAGUCCUGUGCCAUCUGUUGCCAGUAUACUUCAAAUACUGAUGAUGGACCGGGCCUCGUACCCUGAAAAUUUGAAUGUGUUAUAAAAUUGUUUUUAUUAAAAAUCAAGAUUUUAAAAAAAUAUCUGUGCCUCUUUCAACGUCAGGCUAGAUUUAUCAAUAAGUUAUUUAACAGUUUAGUCAUGACUUCAAGUGGUUGGCGGAAUGUCUCAAUCAAUAGAAUUUCAACAAGUCAGGUCAGAAAAAGACAAGGGAAUAAUGCAUUAAACUCAAACUGAACUUAAUUAAUCUGUGUGCAAAUGGUGAUCAACAAUUGCUACCUUGAAUCAAACUCUGUAGGUGAGCACAAUGCCUCAUAGGCCCACUGUUUGGCCUCAGAUUGAAUGGGUAACAAAAGUAAGAUGAUGAACCAUAUUAAGUUGUCUUUUUUUAAUUUCCUAUGAUUUGUGUUAUAGUAUGCAAUUUGUUUUGUUUGAUUUGUUUUUAUUAGGGGAUAAAUUGCAAUACCAUGACUGCCAGACCUAGCUCGUCUCCAUUGUAAGGUUGUUGUCAUCAGUACAAACAAUAAACAAUAUAAC